UACGUAGGGGGCAAGCGUUGUCCGGAUUUAUUGGGCGUAAAGAGCGUGUAGGCGGCUUGGCAAGUCCGCUGUGAAAACUCGAGGCUCAACCUCGAGAGGUCGGUGGAAACUUUCUGGCUAGAGUCCGGAAGAGGAGAAUGGAAUUCCUGGUGUAGCGGUGAAAUGCGCAGAUAUCAGGAAGAACACCCGUGGCGAAGGCGGUUCUCUGGGACGGUACUGACGCUGAGACGCGAAAGCGUGGGGAGCGAACAGG
rnacentral:rRNA from 1 species